rnacentral:rRNA from 1 species
UACGGGGGGGGGCAAGCGUUGUCCGGAUUUAUUGGGCGUAAAGAGCUCGUAGGCGGCUUGUCGCGUCGUCCGUGAAAACCUGCAGCUCAAACUGCAGGCUUGCGGUCGAUACGGGCAGGCUGGAGUUCGGUAGGGGGAGACUGGAAUUCCUGGUGUAGCGGUGAAAAUGCGCAGAUAUCAGGAGGAACACCGGUGGCGAAG